UUGAACCCAGAUUGGAUCUCUCUCUCUUUCCUUUCUCUCCAUCGGCAUCUGUGAACCUGUGAACGAAGAUCAAUCGAAAACGACGCCAUCGAUCGCCUCUUUCUCGUCUAUUCUGAUCCCUCCUCGCAAUUUCAUAUUGGAUCGAACAUUGGUUUGGGGGAAAUUGAUUCACUGAACUGCAUCAUUCUCUCUCUCUCCCCUUGAUUUUUGUCACAAACUGCAUAUAUAUAUAUAUAUAUAUAUAUAUCUGCUACGUGAUCAGAAGGAAGACUACAGAUGAUUAAUCUGAUAGAUUUUACAUCAGGCAUGGAAUUGAAGCUCUUGUUUUCACCGAGUUCGACGUCUAUUUCAUCAUACAGAUGAUCAAUUGCUUCUCUUUCAACCUCUUGCCCUCUAACCUAGAAAGAUCAUCAGGCCAUUGAUAUCCUUCUAGCAGAGAUUGAUAUAUACAAGCUUUUUGCUUUCAAACAUUGCAAGGGAAGGAAGGUUAAGCUUGCUCUUUGUGAAGAGAAGUGAAAGUCGAGCACCAUCAUCCAUAUCAAGAGUUGAUGUUUGGAUUAAAGGGCAUACAAACGAGGAAGGAAGGAAAAUCCAUGAAUGAAGUGCUUGAUGCAACUGUGAAAAAGGUUCAAGAACUUCAUAAGAUUUCUACUGAUGAGGGUCCAAAAUCUAUAAAAGAUGAUGCGAUUUUUCAUACUUUUGGUCCCGAGCGCCAUGGGAGUGUAUGAGGGCUGGGGUUUGGGGCAUUACCAUCUAAGGUUGAUGCACAAGUACACCAAAAUGAGCACGUGAGAAAACUUGAAGGCAAGGUGCUGGACUUAGAACAACAACUUGAUGAGAUAAGAGCCAUGCUUAUCAAAGAAAGAAGGCAAAAUGAUGGUAGCAAUCCCUCCCAACGAAGCUCCGAUCUACUCCAAUCUACUCCUCAUGACAACCUUCCAACUUUAGUGAAUGAAGUUGGUUCUGUUACUGAAAGCAUUGAAGCUAUGAAAUUAUCUAAACGUGCUGGUUCUUCAAUUGCAAAUCUUCCAACUGGUUUAGAUAUGGAAACUUAGCUGGAGAGCAUCGGCAGAAUAGAUUAAGCCCAAACAACCUGUCACAGAAAGAUAAAAAUCCAGUAGUAGUUCGUUCACUCGAGGGCACUCCGACGCUCAAGUCAAUAAUCAAAUAUCUCUUAAAGAUUGCAACUUGUGCUUCAUCUCACAAGAAAGAACAUAUCUCAAACCCACGAGGGUACCUUGUUUUUGUAAGCAGCAGUAACCUGAUCCCUGUAGAGGCCCAACUUUAAUGGACUCAGGCUCAAUGCUCAUCUUGGACUCUCAGCUAGAUAAGGAUAAACUACCUAAGAGCUCUAUCUUUAUCUAGACUGAGAUCCUCUCCUGUUCUAGGACUCUUCUCCCUUAUCUGCUCAUCUUGGAUUCCGGUAUCUCUGCAGACAAUCUCAGCCUAGCCGGGAUCAUCUCGACAUCAAGACAAGACUAGACCACGUGGCACCUCGGCUGACUCUUCGGCGUUACCUUAGCCACGUGUUGUUAUUCACAAAAUAUGUCCCCACAACUGUCCCUAGGUUCUAUUAUCUCGGCAAUCUGAGGUAAUGGAACCUACAUUGUUUGCUCAUAUAACAUGUUGGCUAAAUUACAUUUCUUCUUCACUACCGAAAUCAUUUUGUCGGCUUCAAGUACCCAGGACUCAAAUGUCCACUUUACCAAGGGUUAAGAACCAAGAAUCAAGUUCUUUAGACAUCUUAGCCGAGGUCGUUCCUCUAGUCGAGAUUGUUGCUUCAUUAACUCAAGAACUCCAAGAGUUUAAUCUGCGCAUGAGCUGUUACGCACGGUUUCCUCAACCGUUCUUUCAACGCGUCCCUUUCUUAUUGGUUCAUACCUAACAUGCACUAUCAGGUCACAUCGCUUCUGCGCACGCCGCAUGACAAGCACGUCGUCCAAGGCAUUUUAAUUACAUUUUGUCACUUUUUCACAUUUUAACAAAAACUCUUUCACUCUCUCUGUCUUUUCACUUCGCAUUCUCGCACUCUCUCUCAAAGUUUUCUCUGUCCACGAAUCUUUCUCCAAACCUCCAUUACCGUGUUUGUGAGCUUUCUGCGAUCACCUAUCUACUGCUUCUGGUGAGCCUUUUACUAUCAGGCUCUAGAAAAUACCAUCGUUGGACUCCGGCGAUCCUCAUUCCCGCGUACUUUCUGUUGGCUCCACUCGGUAAGUUCACAAUUUCUUCCCUCUUUAAGUUCAGUCUUUCAUUAUUUCUUUGAUUUAUUCCAAAUCUGUUACUUGUUUAUAUGAUGUUUGUUGCCAUUGCAAAUCAAUUUUUGUUCUUCAAUCUUCAUUAUACAAUAUAUCCUUGUGUCUUUUCACAUUGUUCGUGAUUCCCGCACAUAGUGUUUAUAAACUUGAAGCUUUAACAAUUUUGCUACUAUUCUUGGCUUUUGCACAUCCGCACACACCUACUCAAUGUUUCUUCAAAAAAUGUUGCUUUCUUGAUUCUGAAUCAUGUUCUUUUCUAUUUUUCUUUGACUUGUUUCCAGAUUCUUGCCUUUGAUUCUUGUUUCCAUAUAGACUUAGAUUUGGGAUUUGAUAGAAAUCACAUUAUUUUAGGAAAAUUGAAACAAAUUCCCCUUUGAUCUUCAAAAAACCCUCACCCCAAUUCCAAUUUUAGGUUUUAGCCGAGGUAUUCAAACCUAUAUCCAUCACUCUAUUAUCUAACCACUUUAGCCGAGAUAAUGGGUAUGUUCAGGUGGAGAGUGGAUACCCUAAAAAAACUUGAAUACUUUAGGAGAGAAUUUUCUAUCCCUGCCGACGUCUAGCUUAGGUUAGCCGGGGAGGAGGAUUCCAUCAUGCCCGACGGAGACUCCAUGCCCUUCCCCGUAGUUGCCUUUAUAGAGUGUGGACUUUGGUUCCCUUUAGACACUCUUUUCUGUGAGGUCCUUCACUAUUACAAGCUUAACCCUAUGCAACUUGCCAUCAAUUCAUAUAGGGUUAUAAAUGGUAUAAUUGAGCUGACACGCCGAGAAAAGGCCAGGAUCAUUUUAGCCAACAUUCAGUAUUGUUAUAUCAUGUGUGGUCUAAAGUCUGAAAAAGGCUACAUUUACUACCUAAAACCUAGAUCCACAGCAUACAAAAUCAUAGCCGACCUCCCAAACUGCAACAAGGGUACUGGAGAUGAUUACCUCAUCGCCUUAGGCAAUUAGGAGUUUGCUCCUGAUGAUGAUCUUCAUCUCUUUCCUCUACGCCAAUUGAUGUUUAAAGAGAGUGAUGCUCUUCCCUGGCCGGCAAAGGAUUUUCGACAAAAUUUCUUCCCCAGAAAGGAUCUGAAAAAGCUACUAGAUAUGCUAGUUGAAAAACGCAAGGCCCUACUACUGCUUGAUUAUAUCCCAACCUCUAAAUUGGCCCCGCCGACGUUCCACACCAAAGCAAGACUCCUUCUGCUACGACUCCUCUUUCUGCUACAACUCCUCAUCACCCAGGCCAAACCAGGCCUCCUCCUCAGAUCCAGUUGAGUUGCCAUCUACCUCUGCCCCUCAACUUAUCCUGAUAUCACAGCGCCGAUGCCGACGUCGUGCCCCAACAAACGUACUAGCAGACAGGACUCGUAGCUGUAAACAUUAGGAUUCGGAGGCGUCGGCUUACGAUCCAGCGAGCCCACCAACUGUAUUGCCAACCAUUCAUUUCGGAACCAAAGUCACCCUUACUGCUAUUACUGAAGACAUGGUCCGAAAAGUAGUUGUUAAGGACCUCUUGGCCGACUUGCCAGGAGUGGUCACUGUUGCCUCUUCUUUACCAUCUCAAUCUCAACAAAAACCAAAACAAAAAAGGGUAAAGAAGGCUAAGGCAAAAGUCUCUGCCACUCAAGUCGAAUCAAAACACACAGUACCAAUCUCGAAGCUUGCUGAGAUGGAGAAAAUAGUCCCUGCUGCUGAGAAGAGGCUUGCUGAGGCCGAUCCAACUGAUACCGCUCGGUCAAAGAAGUCGAGGUCCGAAGUUAUAGCAACCUCGGGUGCGUUUAAAGCCGAUGAGCCCUGGGCCCCAACCCUCAUGAUUGGGGAUCGGCCAAUGAAGGCUGGUGACAGUGCCAUCAAUAGUAUUGAGGUCGGUGCCGUUCUCUCUACAGUUGUGCUCCUUCUAACCGAUCUCAAUCGUAUGCCCGAGAUCAAUGAAUACGAAAAUUUUUCUCUGAUGAUGUAGCAUUCCAUUUUGGCUAUCCAACAUACUCAUUCUUUCGCCAUGAAAGCCGAGGCUUUCAAAGAAGAGUUGGUGCACAAAACCAAGGAAGCUGCUGGCUUUCUCUCUUCUCUAAACAACGCUAAGGCUAAAAUCAAGGUUCUUCUUGAUCAUGCCAAGGCAACCAGACAGGCCUAGGACCAGGUCGAGGAAAAAGUUGAGGCGGCCGAGGCUGUAGCCAAAGUGUUGAGAUUUGAGAUCAAAGAUGCCGAGGAGAAAACUGCCAAGGUCAAGGCGGAGCUCCAAGAAGUGCUGGUCGCGAAGGAAGCCGAAAUCAAGGCGAUCGACGAGAAGGCCUUCUUAGAAGGGCAAGCUGCAGUCCAUGACGUAUACAAAGAUCAAGUCAACCAAGCCUGUAACCGAGGCUUCUAUCUUGGCUGGACUGUAGCCCUCAACAAAUUAUCUGUCCCUAUGGACUCCGACCUCCAAGAUAUCAGCAAACUUUAAAUGCUAUUCCCCUAACUUCCAAAAAGUCAGAUGGGGAAGCCGAUAAAGAGGAAUCCGAAUCUGAUGACGCCGAAGAAGAGGAGGAUACUGCUAAUGGGGCCAAGUCCCUAACUUUGAAUGAUCAAGUCUUACACUUGACUCAUGAUGAAGAGGAAGACUUGGUUUCCAAGGGAGCCUCUCCAAAACAAACCACUUCUGAGGCCGAGGUCCAGGCAGUCGAGAAGAGCUUGGACUAGACCUUGCUGGAAAUCGAUGUCGAGAUAACGGCGGAGAAGGAAGUCACAUUGCCAACUGAGGCCGACACAACGCUAAUAGCCGAGGUUGAACAAUCUGAUACCAGUGCCAAUAAUUCCAUCACUUAGGAAUUUUUGCUUUUGAAUAGUUUUGUAAUGCUUGGACGAGUAAUCUCUUUUGCCAGGCCGAAGUGCCUUUGUUUCUGAACAAGUUUCUCUUGAAUGCAUGCUUGCCUUCUUCCUUA